rnacentral:rRNA from 1 species
CUGACCGUGGCAAAGGUAGCGUAAUCCUUGGUUCCAUUAAUUGUAAACCGUUAUGAAGGCAUAAUGAGGGCCUAACUGUCUCUUAUAGUAAAUCAAUUAAACUGAUCUCCCAGUCCAAAAGCUGGAAUGUAAACAUAAAACCAAAAAACCCUGUGAAGCUUAAACUAAACUAUUAAAACCAAUAAUAGCUACUUUCGGUUGGGGCGACCUUGGAAACAAAAAAAACUUCCAAAAAAAUAACUUAUACUGUUCUAUACGGCCAACAAGCCUACUACAACCCAGCACAGCUAAUAAUUGAACCAAGUUACUCCAGGGAUAACAGCGCUUUCUUCUUCAAAAGCCCAUAUCAAAAAAAAGGUUUACAACCUCGAUGUUGGAUCAGGACAUCCUAAUGGUGCACCCGCUAUUAAGGGUUCGUUUGUUCAACGAUAAAAAGUCCUACGUGAUCUGAGU